GGGGAUUUAGCUCAGUAGUAUAAGUACCUGCCUUGCAAGCAUGUGGUCAUGAAUUCAAUCCCCA
rnacentral:tRNA from 1 species